AUUGAACGCUGGCGGCAGGCCUAACACAUGCAAGUCGAGCGGAUGAGAAGAGCUUGCUCUUCGAUUCAGCGGCGGACGGGUGAGUAAUGCCUAGGAAUCUGCCUGAUAGUGGGGGACAACGUCUCGAAAGGGACGCUAAUACCGCAUACGUCCUACGGGAGAAAGCAGGGGACCUUCGGGCCUUGCGCUAUCAGAUGAGCCUAGGUCGGAUUAGCUUGUUGGUGAGGUAAUGGCUCACCAAGGCGACGAUCCGUAACUGGUCUGAGAGGAUGAUCAGUCACACUGGAACUGAGACACGGUCCAGACUCCUACGGGAGGCAGCAGUGGGGAAUAUUGGACAAUGGGCGAAAGCCUGAUCCAGCCAUGCCGCGUGUGUGAAGAAGGUCUUCGGAUUGUAAAGCACUUUAAGUUGGGAGGAAGGGCAGUCAGCGAAUACCUGGUUGUUUUGACGUUACCGACAGAAUAAGCACCGGCUAACUCUGUGCCAGCAGCCGCAGUAAUAC
rnacentral:rRNA from 1 species